GUAGUCCUACGGGGGGCAGCAGUCGGGAAUAUUGCACAAUGGAGGAAACUCUGAUGCAGUGACACCGCGUAUAGGAAGAAGGUUUUCGGAUUGUAAACUAUUUUAGACAGGGAAGAAAAAAGACAGUACCUGUAGAAUAAGCUCCGGCUAACUACGUGCCAGCAGCCGCGGUAAUACGUAGGGAGCAAGCGUUAUCCGGAUUUACUGGGUGUAAAGGGAGCGUAGACGGCUGUGCAAGUCUGAAGUGAAAUGCCAGGGCUCAACCCCGGAACUGCUUUGGAAACUGUACAGCUAGAGUGCAGGAG
rnacentral:rRNA from 1 species